UACGUAGGGUGCAAGCGUUAAUCGGAAUUACUGGGCGUAAAGCGUGCGUAGGUGGUGCGUUAAGUCUGUCGUGAAAGCCCCGGGCUCAACCUGGGAAUGGCGAUGGAUACUGGCGCGCUAGAGUGCGGUAGAGGAGAGUGGAAUUCCCGGUGUAGCAGUGAAAUGCGUAGAGAUCGGGAGGAACAUCAGUUGCGAAGGCGGCUCUCUGGACCAGCACUGACACUGAGGCACGAAAGCGUGGGGAGCAAACAGG
rnacentral:rRNA from 1 species